rnacentral:rRNA from 1 species
UUUACCUACGGGAGGCAGCAGUGGGGAAUAUUGCACAAUGGGGGAAACCCUGAUGCAGCAACGCCGCGUGAGUGAAGAAGUAUUUCGGUAUGUAAAGCUCUAUCAGCAGGGAAGAAAAAAGACGGUACCUGACUAAGAAGCCCCGGCUAACUACGUGCCAGCAGCCGCGGUAAUACGUAGGGGGCAAGCGUUAUCCGGAUUUACUGGGUGUAAAGGGAGCGUAGACGGCAUAGCAAGUCUGAAGUGAAAGCCCGUGGCUCAAC